rnacentral:lncRNA from 1 species
GGGGACUCGGCCUCAGGGAAACACAUCCGUAUGGGCCGAGGGAAGGGGACCAGCAGAAACGUGAAUGCCGUGGGAGUCUUACAGGAUGGAAUGGUCAGAGACAAUGCAAGCAGAGCCCUCAGGAAAAGAGAGAUUUCUAAUAAAAGGAAAACCAGCUGGGCUAUUAAAGGCCCCUCUUCACACAGAGCAGAGCAAGAGAAGGCAGGUUUCAGAGCGAAUCGCUGUCUACCAUCAAAGCAGACGGGGUUCCAAACAGACAUGGUAUGUUACACACAAAGACCAAGGCCUGCUGCUGAACAGAUGAGAACUGUGGAUGAACACUGCUGCCUCCAGAGCUGUCAUGAGGCGAGGCCUCGGCCCACCUGACUCCCAAGUCACGAUCUUCCUGACAGGACAGCGUUCCAGUUCACCGAGGUGCUGUCCUGAGUGUGCAGCGGCAGCUGGGCAGGACAGGUGUGCAGCAUGGAUGGUUCCCGGGCCUCAGCCAGUGUCAGCAGUUGCUACGCAGUGAUUCCCACACCUCCUAUACUGGCAACUUCAGUGACCUUUUGCACCUGAAAAUUCUGGAAAAUAGUGAAUUGUAAAGACCCUGGACACCAAUCUUGGGCAGGUAGCAUGAGUGGUGGUAAGAGUCCAGGAGGGCCUGGUUUGACUCUUGGCUCUUCCAGGCACCAGGAGACCUGGGCCAGAUUACUCUCCACGACUGUUUCCUCAUCUAUAAAAUUGGGAUAAUAAUAGUAUCUUCUCCCCGGAAUUGUUGCAAGGAGUACAGGAGAUGGUGCAUGUUAAUCGCUCAAUCUGGCCCAUAAUAAAUGCUUGAUGUAUGAUAUUGUUAGCUGCUGC